rnacentral:lncRNA from 1 species
AGAAAGGAAAAAGAUGGCAGUUUGGGUCCAGCAGGGCUCAGAUCCACGGAGCAUCCAAACAAGAAGCAGGCCCUCCUCACAUUGACGAUGAGAGCUUUGGUCCACAGUACAGUGGGGAUGGUGUGGUGAAGGGUUUAGGAGAAGGACUCUGGGUGUGAUGGACACGUGGGUUGCUUCCAUCUCUUGGCCAUUGAGAAUAGUGCUGCUGUGAACAUGGUAGGUUGUUAACUAUUUGUAAGCAAACAAAUCUUUUUCUUUUCUUUCCUUCA